CAUCCAAGUGGAACGUGAAAGCAGCCUCGGCCCUGAGUAAAGUAGCGCUCGGGUGAGUAGCACGGGGAUAAUCUGCGUGAUGGACCGGGAUAACACUUCGAAAGGGGUGCUAAUACCGGAUAAGGAAACAGCNUNUUAAAAGCGGGAGGAAAAAGGUGGGGACCUUCCGGCCUGCAGUCAUCGGAUGAGUCCGCGUCCCAUUAGCUANNUGGUGGGGUAACGCCUUACCAAGGCAACGAUGGGUAGCUGGUNCAGAGGAUGAUCGGCCACACNGGAACUGAGACACGGUCCAGACUCCUNCGGGAGGCAGCAGUGGGGAAUUUUGCGCAAGGGGCCAAAGCGGAAUGCAGCAAAACGGGGGAAACCAUGAAGGCCCACGGGUCGUAAAAUUAAGUCAGUNGGGAAGAAACAA
rnacentral:rRNA from 1 species